CCAGAAACACCCGUAAUAAAUCUUCAUCAUCACCAACCUGUU
rnacentral:sRNA from 1 species